rnacentral:rRNA from 1 species
UACAGGGGGUGCAAGCGUUGCUCGGAAUUACUGGGCGUAAAGCGCACGCAGGCGGUCUGCUAAGUUUGGAGUGACAGUUGGUGGCUUAACUGCCAAAGUGCUUCGAAAACUGACAGACUUGAGGGCUUCAGAGGGACACGGAAUUCCGGGUGGAGUGGUGAAAUGCGUAGAGAUCCGGAGGAACACCAAAGGCGAAGGCAGUGUCCUGGGGAGUACCUGACGCUCAGGUGCGAAAGCCAGGGGAGCGAACGGG